GGGCCCGAUUUGGGGGAAUCAGCCUAAAGCCGGCCCUGGGCGAGGCCUCCUAAAGAAGAAGUUUGAGAACCCCUGUGCUGUAAGCAGGCCCUACUCCCUCCUUCAUUCCUCCAAGCCAACCAGGCUGAGAUGUGAGCUCCGGCUUCUGACGUCAUCUGUUCCAAUGCCAGGGCCCACACUCUUAAACGGGCCGUAAAGACCAGGGUGCGUCACUCCUGGAGACGCACUGGAAGGGGAUGGUAAAUACUGCACCUGAGCUUGGAGAUUUGCACGGCUCCUGGGUGGCAUAGCGGAGACUCAGACCCUGCUUCAUUUGUAAGGAGAGAGGAGCCAGGGCUCUGAACGGCCAGGCCCGGAGGCGCCGGAGCUGUGAACAGCCAGGCCCUGAGGUGCCAGGGCUCUGAACAGCCAGGCCCUGAGGCGCCGGAGCUGUGAACAGCCAGGCCCGGAGGUGCCAGGGCUCUGAACUGCGAAGCCCAGAGGUGCCAGGGCUCUGAACUGCAAAGCCCAGAGGUGCCAGGCUCUGAACCGUCAGGCCUGGAGGCACCGGGGCUCUGAACGGCCAGUUGUGAAAAGACCCCACCAAAUGACCUUUCUGACUGGAGGGGGAAACAGGGUCCAAACACCAGGCUCUGUGCUCCACCCACGGCUGACCAGCCGGCCCGUGUUCCACAGACAUCAACAAAAGCCGGAUCCCCCCUUUUCUAGUCUCCCUCGCCUGCAGCUUGUGCCAGUCUGGCUGGAAAUGGGCGCACCAGGACAGCGUGAAUUACCCUCCCCUGGGCAGCACAGUAAGGUUAUUCUGGGAAUAAAUGGCUCUGCUAGUUCGAGGGUGACUUGCAGGGUUUGAGUCCGUUUGUUCUGCACGAACGUAAAGGCUAGUUUUCAGUUCCUGUGCUCGAUGAACUUCCCCUCUGGGGUGUCUGCCAAGGAGCCGAGAGCCCCCGGUCACUGCAGAGCAGAGCCCUAAACCUGCAUCACUGGCCUCAUGCUGCACACAGGAAGAUUUACAACUUUAACUCUUUUGACCCUUGACAUCCAUCCAACAUAUCCCAAGGGCGGAGGAGGGAAGGGAAGAUGGGGGCACAAGCACCAGCGGGGGGGUUGGCAGGAUCUCAGGCUCUGCACAGGGACCCAGCACCCCUGGGUCCUGGCCCAGCAGAGACCAG